UACAGAGGGUGCAAACGUUGUUCGGAUUUACUGGGCGUAAAGCGCGUGUAGGCUGCUUCGCAAGUCGGAUGAGAAAUCCCGGGGCUCAACCCCGGAACUGCAUUCGAAACUGCCUUGCUCGAGUACUGGAGAGGAGACUGGAAUUUACGGUGUAGCAGUGAAAUGCGUAGAUAUCGUAAGGAAGACCAGUGGCGAAGGCGAGUCUCUGGACAGUUACUGACACUGAGGCACGAAGGCCAGGGGAGCAAACGGG
rnacentral:rRNA from 1 species